rnacentral:misc_RNA from 1 species
CGCCGCGCGACCAGACGAACCUGCUCAGGUGUCACGUUCCUGUUCCUUUACCUUGUGCAUCGAGUAUAAUACAAACACCGAGACGGUCUCUCUAGUAAACACGUGUGACAGUCAUAUUCCACUGUAAUUACGGAUUAAUCGCAACGAUAUCUGAGAGAAAAAUGCCGCCGCGCCUGAUCGUUCAGAAAACCAUUGCUCUUGUGAUUCUUUGCACAUUAGCAGCAGUUGCUCAAGAUACCAAGUUCCACGGUGACUCUGACGGUAUAGUUUUUCCUGGACCUAUCAACGACAGGAGUAAAGCCACGAAACCAGCGGUUCCUCCUGUUCAGCCUGCGCAGAGCCGCGAUAGAGACGUCGAAAUGAAAUCCUUGAACGUAGCCAGGAUGUUGAAUAACGCCGAUUCGGUCGACGAAAUGCUCAAACUGUUCGGCUACACGGAAAAGCAGCCCUUUGCAAUUGACGUUAGAAUAGGCGGACCUGAGGAACGCUCGAACGCCGAAAGACCACAGCUAGCCAAAUGUAUGCCCGAAUUACAGACAGUCCCGUUGAAACAAGAACACGAUCCGUCCACCAUUUACAUCCCGUCAUGCACGCGGAUCAUGAGAUGCGGAGGUUGUUGUAGCCACGAGUUGCUCUCCUGUCAGCCAACCGCCUCGGAAACACGAAAUUUCGAGGUGUUCGUGACGUCGAUCGUUGAGUUUGGACGUGUGGAUAAGCGCAUCGUGCCGUUGGAGGAACACACGAGUUGCGUGUGCGAUUGCAAGACUAAGAAGGAGGACUGCAAUGAGAAACAGACCUAUUUACCGGACGAAUGCAUGUGCUCGUGCAAAAACGUCGACGAAGAGGAGAAAUGUUAUAAAAACAACAAUACGAAAAUCUGGAAUCCAAAUCAGUGUGCUUGCUUCUGCAGACAAGAAUUAGAAUGUUCUACCGGAUUUUUCUUCGAUCAAAAUACGUGCAGGUGUGAGCAGAAAAGAAAAAGCUAAGAGCCACUGUUACGGGAAUAAGAUCUCUUUUCUCUCACUGCACUCUGCUCUUUCACAUAUCUUAUGUCGACAAAUACCACUGUCUAGGACGUGGUUUCAGCCAUCAAAGGGUGCCGAUUAUGGAUUUGCACACACACAAAAAUCA